GGAAUGGCAGAGGCAGGGGGACAUCUGCACAGCACCUGUGGAUUCAGCCUACCUGGUUGGCUUGGUGUCCCCUUCUUCUCUCAAACUUCCUCAUGUCCUCGAAGCUGCACGCUCAAAGAAGAUGACCUUCCCAGCAAAAGGACGAUUCUUCUGGCAAGCAUAUCUUCCCAAGUUUGCUGUGAAAAUCUAAUAAGAUAAUGGAUAUAAAAAUGCUUUAAAAACUGAAAGCACUACACAAGUGUAAGUUAUUA
rnacentral:sRNA from 1 species